GACGAACGCUGGCGGCGUGCUCAACACAUGCAAGUCGAACGAUGAAGCCGGAGCUUGCUCUGGUGAAUUAGUGGCGAACGGGUGAGUAACACGUGAGUAACCUGCCCUUGACUCUGGGAUAACUGCGGGAAACUGUAGCUAAUACCGGAUACGACCCUCGGAGGCAUCUCCUGGGGGUGGAAAGAAUUUCUGUCAAGGAUGGACUCGCGGCCUAUCAGCUAGUUGGUGAGGUAACGGCUCACCAAGGCGACGACGGGUAGCCGGCCUGAGAGGGUGACCGGACACACUGGGACUGAGACACGGCCCAGACUCCUACGGGAGGCAGCAGUGGGGAAUAUUGCACAAUGGGCGCAAGCCUGAUGCAGCAACGCCGCGUGAGGGAUGACGGCCUUCGGGUUGUAAACCUCUUUUAGUAGGGAAGAAGCGAAAGUGACGGUACCUGCAGAAAAAGCACCGGCUAACUACGUGCCAGCCGCCGCGGUAA
rnacentral:rRNA from 1 species